UGGGGAAUAUUGGACAAUGGGCGCAAGCCUGAUCCAGCCAUGCCGCGUGAGUGAUGAAGGCCCUAGGGUUGUAAAGCUCUUUCACCGGUGAAGAUAAUGACGGUAACCGGAGAAGAAGCCCCGGCUAACUUCGUGCCAGCAGCCGCGGUAAUACGAAGGGGGCUAGCGUUGUUCGGAUUUACUGGGCGUAAAGCGCACGUAGGCGGACUAUUAAGUCAGGGGUGAAAUCCCGGGGCUCAACCCCGGAACUGCCUUUGAUACUGGUAGUCUUGAGUUCGAGAGAGGUGAGUGGAAUUCCGAGUGUAGAGGUGAAAUUCGUAGAUAUUCGGAGGAACACCAGUGGCGAAGGCGACUUUCUGGACUUUUACUGACGCUCAGGUACGAAAGCGUGGGGAGCAAACAGG
rnacentral:rRNA from 1 species